rnacentral:rRNA from 1 species
UGCAGUCGAGCGGACAGAUGGGAGCUUGCUCCCUGAUGUUAGCGGCGGACGGGUGAGUAACACGUGGGUAACCUGCCUGUAAGACUGGGAUAACUCCGGGAAACCGGGGCUAAUACCGGAUGCUUGUUUGAACCGCAUGGUUCAAACAUAAAAGGUGGCUUCGGCUACCACUUACAGAUGGACCCGCGGCGCAUUAGCUAGUUGGUGAGGUAAUGGCUCACCAAGGCAACGAUGCGUAGCCGACCUGAGAGGGUGAUCGGCCACACUGGGACUGAGACACGGCCCAGACUCCUACGGGAGGCAGCAGUAGGGAAUCUUCCGCAAUGGACGAAAGUCUGACGGAGCAACGCCGCGUGAGUGAUGAAGGUUUUCGGAUCGUAAAGCUCUGUUGUUAGGGAAGAACAAGUACCGUUCGAAUAGGGCGGUACCUUGACGGUACCUAACCAGAAAGCCACGGCUAACUACGUGCCAGCAGCCGCGGUAAUACGUAGGUGGCAAGCGUUGUCCGGAAUUAUUGGGCGUAAAGGGCUCGCAGGCGGUUUCUUAAGUCUGAUGUGAAAGCCCCCGGCUCAACCGGGGAGGGUCAUUGGAAACUGGGGAACUUGAGUGCAGAAGAGGAGAGUGGAAUUCCACGUGUAGCGGUGAAAUGCGUAGAGAUGUGGAGGAACACCAGUGGCGAAGGCGACUCUCUGGUCUGUAACUGACGCUGAGGAGUCGAAACGUGGGGAGCGAACAGGAUUAGAUACCCUGGUAGUCCACGCCGUAAACGAUGAGUGCUAAGUGUUAAGGGGGUUUCCGCCCCUUAGUGCUGC